rnacentral:rRNA from 1 species
CCUACGGGUGGCAGCAGUGGGGGAUAUUGCUCAAUGGGGGGAACCCUGAUGCAGCGACGCCGCGUGGGUGAAGGAGUGCUUCGGCAUGUAAAGCCCUAUCGGCAGGGAAGAAGCAAGACGGUACCUGACUAAGAAGCCCCGGCUAACUACGUGCCAGCAGCCGCGGUAAUACGGCGGGGGCGAGCGUUAUCCGGAUUCACUGGGUGUAAAGGGAGCGUAGACGGGCAUUCAAGCCAGGGGUGAAAGCCCGGGGCCCAACCCCGGAAGUGCCUUUGAAACUGCAUGGCUUGAGUGCGUGAGGGGCAGGCGGAAUGCCUGGUGUAGCGGUGAAAUGCGUAGAUAUCAGGAGGAACACCGACGGCGAAGGCAGCCUGCUGG